AACGAACGCUGGCGGCAUGCCUAACACAUGCAAGUCGAACGAGACCUUCGGGUCUAGUGGCGCACGGGUGCGUAACGCGUGGGAACCUGCCCUUAGGUUCGGAAUAACUCCCCGAAAGGGGUGCUAAUACCGGAUAAUGUCUUCGGACCAAAGGUUUAUCGCCUUUGGAUGGGCCCGCGUUGGAUUAGCUAGUUGGUAGGGUAAAAGCCUACCAAGGCGACGAUCCAUAGCUGGUCUGAGAGGAUGAUCAGCCACACUGGGACUGAGACACGGCCCAGACUCCUACGGGAGGCAGCAGUGGGGAAUAUUGGACAAUGGGCGAAAGCCUGAUCCAGCAAUGCCGCGUGAGUGAUGAAGGCCUUAGGGUUGUAAAGCUCUUUUACCCGGGAUGAUAAUGACAGUACCGGGAGAAUAAGCGCCGGCUAACUCCGUG
rnacentral:rRNA from 1 species